rnacentral:rRNA from 1 species
AGACGAACCGUCCAAACGUUAUUCGGAAUUACUGGGCUUAAAGGGUGCGUAGGCGGCGCGGAAAGUUGGGUGUGAAAUACCUCGGCUCAACCGAGGAACUGCGCCCAAAACUUCCGUGCUCGAGGGAGAUAGAGGUGAGCGGAACUUAGGGUGGAGCGGUGAAAUGCGUUGAUAUUAUCAGGAACACCGGUGGCGAAAGCGGCUUACUGGGUCUCUUCUGACGCUGAGGCACGAAAGCUAGGGUAGCGAACAGGAUUAGAAACCCCAGUAGUCC